rnacentral:SRP_RNA from 1 species
UCUGGGCAUGGUGGCACGUGCCUGUAGUCCCAGCUACUCAGGAGGCUGAGGUGGGAGGAUCGCUUGUGUCCAGGAGUUCUGGGCUGUAGUGCACUAUGCCGAUCAGGUGUCCGCACUAAGUUCGGCAUCAAUAUGGUGACCUCCCGGGAGCAGGGGGCCACCAGGAUGCCUAAGGAGGGGUGAACCAGCCCAGGUCGAAAACAGAGCAGGUCAAAACUCCUGAGCUGAUCAGUAAUGGGAUCCUGCCUGUGAAUAGCCAUGGCACUCCAGCCUGGGCAACAUAGCUCCCCCUUCUU